AGCAGUAGCCGCGGUAAUACGUAGGUCCCGAGCGUUGUCCGGAUUUAUUGGGCGUAAAGGGAGCGCAGGCGGUUUAGUAAGUCUGAAGUUAAAGGCAUUGGCUCAACCAAUGUAUGCUUUGGAAACUGUUAGACUUGAGUGCAGAAGGGGAGAGUGGAAUUCCGUGUGUAGCGGUGAAGUACGUAGAUAUAUGGAGGAACACCAGUGGCGAAGGCGACUCUCUGGUCUGUAACUGACGCUGAGGCGCGAAAGCGUGGGGAGCAAACAGGAUUAGAUACCCCAGUAGUCCCUGUCUCUUAUACA
rnacentral:rRNA from 1 species